GGGCCGUGGGGGUCCGUGGGGUCCGUUGGGUCCGUUCCUUUUGCUUUCAUACGGCUGCAAUCACCGAACGGUGCCCGCGCUCCUCAGCAGCACAACGCAGCUUGCCGGGGGAAUCGGCUCUGAGCGCAGCAGAUCAGAGUGGUGGAUCAGCUCACCGCCCCGCACCGGGUGUAUGAUUUCAUCGACCUUCAGCAGUGCCUCGCCUCCAUGGAGACUGCACUCCUCGCUCCUGAGCCUUGCUGGGUUACUUCAGGGUUUGUGCUCCUGGAUCUCAGAGAGGCACAUCUAUACAGGUUGCUGCAGUCUGAAGGAAGCAACACACAUUUAAUGGGAGCUGAACCGCACGAGGGGC